GACGAACGCUGGCGGCGUGCUUAACACAUGCAAGUCGAACGGUGAACUCCGCUUGCGGGGGGAUCAUUGGCGAACGGGUGAGUAACACGUUGGCAACCUACCCUCACCUCUCUGAUAACUCCCAUCAAUUGGGGCUAAUUCCGGCUAUGUCCGCUCACCUCCUGCUCUGUUGGUGUUAUGAUUUUUCGGCUGGGGAUGGACCCGCGGCCUAUCAUCUUGUUGGUGGUGUAGUGGCCUACCAAGGCGACGACGGGUAGUCGGCCUGAGAGGGUGACCGGCCACACUGGGACUGAGACACGGCCCAGACUCCUACGGGAGGCAGCAGUGGGGAAUAUUGCGCAAUGGGCGGAAGCCUGACGCAGCGACGCCGCGUGGGGGAUGACGGCCUUCGGGUUGUAAACCGCUUUCAGCAGGGACGAAGCGAAAGUGACGGUACCUGCAGAAGAAGCACCGGCUAACUACGUG
rnacentral:rRNA from 1 species